rnacentral:rRNA from 1 species
AUUGAACGCUGGCGGCAGGCCUAACACAUGCAAGUCGAGCGGAAGAAGGGAGCUUACUCCUGGAUCCAGCGGCGGACGGGUGAGUAAUGCCUAGGAAUCUGCCUGGCAGUGGGGGAGAACGUCCGGGAACGGGCGCUAAUACCGCAUACGUCCAGAGGGAGAAAGUGGGGGAGCUUCGGAGCUCACGCUAUCAGAUGAGCCUUGGCCGGAUUGGCUCGUUUGUGGGGUAAAGGCCUACCAAGGGGACGAUCCGUAACUGGUCUGAGAGGAUGAUCAGUCACACUGGAGCUGAGACACGGUCCAGAGUCCUACGGGAGGCAGCAGUGUGGAAUGUUGGACAACGGGCGGAAGCCUGAUCCAGCCGUGCCGCGUGUGUGAAGAAGGUCUUCGGAUUGUAAAGCACUUUUAGUUGGUGGGAACGGCAGUAAGUUGAUACCUUGCUGUUUUGACGUUACCAACAGAAUAAGCACCGGCUAACUUCGUG